rnacentral:snRNA from 3 species
GUGCUCGCUUCGGCAGCACAUAUACUAAAAUUGGAAUGAUACAGAGAUCAGCAUGGCCCCUGAGCAAGGAUGACACGCAAAUCUUAGACACCUUCCCACCACCCUUCU